AGGGAAACAGCCCAGACCACCAGCUAAGGUCCCCAAUGUCGUACUAAGUGGAAAAGGAUGUGGGGUCUCUAAAACAACCAGGAUGUUGGCUUAGAAGCAGCCACCAUUCAAAGAGUGCGUAAUAGCUCACUGGUCGAGAGACCCUGCGCCGAAGAUUACCGGGGCUAAAGUACGAAACCGAAGCUGUGGCUACGACAUAUGUCGUGGGGUAGGGGAGCGUUCUGUGAGGGCUGAAGUCGUUCUGUAAGGAACGGUGGACUUCACAGAAGUGAGAAUGUUGGUAUGAGUAGCGAAAAGAAUGGUGAGAAUCCAUUCCACCGAAAGCAUAAGGAUUCCUGGGCAACGAUCGUCGUCCCAGGGUAAGUCGGGACCUAAUCCGAGGCAUGGAGCGUAGGAGAUGGACAACUGGCAGAUAUUCCAGUACCGGUAAUGAUUGUUUGAGCGAUGGAGUGACACAGGAGGGCAGGCAGGCAGGAGAUUGGUUGUUCCUGUACAAGCGUGUAGGAUGGGACGCAGGCAAAUCCGCGUCCUGUGAGUCUGAGGCGUGAUGUGGAGGUUCCGGAAACGGAACUGAAGCUGCUGACCCCACACUGUCGAGAAAAGCUUCUAGUUAGAGAAUUACCGCCCGUACCGUAAACCGACACAGGUAUGCGGGGAGAGAAUCCUAAGGUGCGCGGGAGAACCCUCGUUAAGGAACUCGGCAAAAUGUACCCGUAACUUCGGGAUAAGGGUAGCCGCUGUUGUGAAGUCUGCACAGACGGAGCAUGAGGCGGUCGCAGAGAAGAGGCCCAAGCGACUGUUUACCACAAACACAGGUGCCUGCUAAAGAGAAAUCUGACGUAUAGGUGCUGACACCUGCCCAGUGCCGGAAGGUUAAGGAAGGAUGUCCGGAGCAAUCCAAAGCAUUCGACCGAAGCCCCGGUGAACGGCGGCCGUAACUAUAACGGUCCUAAGGUAGCGAAAUUCCUUGUCGGGUAAGUUCCGACCCGCACGAAAGGUGUAACGAUUUGGGCACUGUCUCAACGAGGGACCCGGUGAAAUUGAAGUACCUGUGAAGAUGCAGGUUACCCGCGACUGGACAGAAAGACCCCAUGGAGCUUUACUGUAACCUGACAUUGGGUUCUGAUACAUCACGUACAGGAUAGGUGGGAGGCAUGGAAGCGAGGACGCUAGUCUUCGUGGAGCCGCCGUUGGGAUACCACCCUUGAUGUAUCGGAAUUCUAACCGUAGGAGUAACGAAACUCGGGACAGUGUCAGGCGGGCAGUUUGACUGGGGCGGUCGCCUCCCAAAGAGUAACGGAGGCGCCCAAAGGUUCCCUCAGCGCGGCCGGAAAUCGCGCGAAGAGUGUAAAGGCAGAAGGGAGCUUGACUGAGAGCCAAACACGGCAAUCAGGUACGAAAGUAGGGCUUAGUGAUCCGGUGGCAUCCAAGUGGAAGGGCCAUCGCUCAACGGAUAAAAGCUACCCUGGGGAUAACAGGCUAAUCUCUCCCAAGAGUCCAUAUCGACGGGGAGGUUUGGCACCUCGAUGUCGGCUCAUCACAUCCUGGGGCUGAAGUCGGUCCCAAGGGUUGGGCUGUUCGCCCAUUAAAGUGGUACGUGAGCUGGGUUCAGAACGUCGUGAGACAGUUCGGUCCCUAUCCAUCGCGGGCGCAAGAGAUUUGAAGGGGGCUGCUCCUAGUACGAGAGGACCGGAGUGGACGAACCAAUGGUGUACCAAUUAUCUCGCCAGAGGUAUAGUUGGGUAGCUACGUUCGGAAAGGAUAAACGCUGAAAGCAUCUAAGCGUGAAACCAGCCUUAAGAUGAGAUCUCUCAUAGAGCAAUCUAGUAAGACACCUUGGAGAAGACGAGGUUGAUAGGUCGGGAGUGUAAGUACAGUAAUGUAUUCAGCGGACCGAUACUAAUAUGUCGAGGGCUUGACUUG
rnacentral:rRNA from 1 species